rnacentral:rRNA from 1 species
AGAGUUUGAUCAUGGCUCAGAUUGAACGCUGGCGGCAUGCCUAACACAUGCAAGUCGAACGGUAACAGGCCUUCGGGCGCUGACGAGUGGCGGACGGGUGAGUAAUACGUAGGAAUCUGCCCAUUAGUGGGGGAUAACACUUCGAAAGAAGUGCUAAUACCGCAUACGUCCUGAGGGAGAAAGCGGGGGAUCGCAAGACCUCGCGCGAUUGGAGUGGCCGAUGUCAGAUUAGCUAGUUGGUGGGGUAAAGGCCUACCAAGGCAACGAUCUGUAGCUGGUCUGAGAGGAUGAUCAGCCACACUGGGACUGAGACACGGCCCAGACUCCUACGGGAGGCAGCAGUGGGGAAUUUUGGACAAUGGGGGCAACCCUGAUCCAGCCACUCCGCGUGAGUGAAGAAGGCCUUCGGGUUGUAAAGCUCUUUCGGCAGGAACGAAACGGUGAGCUCUAACAUAGCUCGCUAAUGACGGUACCUGAAGAAGAAGCACCGGCUAACUACGUGCCAGCAGCCGCGGUAAUACGUAGGGUGCGAGCGUUAAUCGGAAUUACUGGGCGUAAAGCGUGCGCAGGCGGUUGUGUAAGACAGGUGUGAAAUCCCCGGGCUUAACCUGGGAACUGCGCUUGUGACUGCACAGCUAGAGUAUGGCAGAGGGGGGUGGAAUUCCACGUGUAGUAGUGAAAUGCGUANAGAUGUGGAGGAACACCGAUGGCGAAGGCAGCCCCCUGGGCCAAUACUGACGCUCAUGCACNAAAGCGUGGGGAGCAAACAGGAUUANAUACCCUGGUANUCCACGCCCUAAACNAUGUCNACUANGUGU